UACAAUCAUACAAAUGUUUGUUUUAUUUCUUGUAGCGACAAAUGUAUACAUAUUAUUAUUUAUUAAUAUGAAAAAGUCAUACAAAUUAAAUGUUGAUUGUUGGUUUUACCAUACUGUGUGGGCUUUCCUUUCAUUUUUCAAGUCUCCAACCCCCCCUGUCACGUCCCUGUUGCUAAACCACGCGAGAUUUGUACGGAAUGUUUUGAAAGACUCGUG